rnacentral:lncRNA from 1 species
CAACUCUCAUCCUUAAGCUUCUCUCUCUAAAACCUACGAAUUAUUGUAGCAUAUCAGUCCCUAAACAAAGCCCAACCAUCACAAACAACAAAUCAGAAGCAUCAAGAAGCCAGAAAUCAAAAAUCAAGCUUGAAAAGGUAGGAAAUCCUAAAUUCUAGAAAUCCUUCGAUUCGAUGUUAAUUGAUGCAAUUGAUUGUUUAAAGUAGUGUAAUAGAGAGUCUAUUAAUGUUCUGGGUUGUAAAAUCAUGAACCCAUAACAUCAAAGUGCACGAAUUUGAAGAUUUAAACAAGUUGGAAAAACCGAAUUCUGUUAUUUUUCACCAAAUGUCAGAGGCUAUAAAUCUUUGGUCGAUCUCGAGUUUUGUUUUUUAAAAGUUGUUAUAGGUAGCCUGAUAUGUGGUCUUUAAUCUCCAAAAGGAAUAAAGUUCAUAGCUAUUGUAGAUCGGGAUUUAUAAGCGGUCAAAGUGGGUUGACCGGCAUUGACCGGCUGUUCUUCAAACCCAGAAAAUAUUCUAAGUGUCCAGAAAAUAUUAUUUUGGAAAAUGUCAGGCCUUAUAUCUCGGUUAUCUUUAAUGUGUUUUGUGUUCUAAAGGUUGAUAUGUGUAUCUUGUUAUGUGGUAUUUAACCUCCAAAAAGAAUCAGGUCCAUAUAUAUUACGGAUUAAGAGUUAUUUAAGGUCAAAGUGGGUUGACCGGCAUUGACCAGAAAAUUCUGGGCAGCCCAGAAUUUUCUAAGUGUUAAUUUUUCUGACAAGGUUUGACCAUACUUUAGAUGCUUGAUUUCUUGUUUUUAUGAUGAUGUUAAGUGUUAGAGUUGUAGUCCUACAUGUUGUCUACACACUGGAAUUGAUAGAUCACAUAAACGUUACACGAUCAUCAAGUUAUAGAGGUCCAAAGUAGGCACCUCGAACUGUUCUUCGUGAAGAACAGCUUUGGUAGCUACUUUGAUGGCUGAUUUAUCCCAGAUCUGAUGUUUGUUUAGAGGUUAUGAUUGUUGGAUCUUGUAGUCUUGUAUUUCCUCUACAAGACCCAAUUUAUAGAUUGUCCAAAUUCGUUAAGAUGAGAGAGUUAUUCACGGUCAAAGUAGGCCACUCGGUUCUGCCUUAUGAAGAUCUGGGUAGGCUCAAGAACACCUAUAGCGACACUUCUGUCACUAUAGGGGCCUUUAGCGACAGUUUUAAUUAUUUUAAUUUCUGAUUUUCCGAAAAAUGAUUUAAAAAUUAGAAAAAUUAGAUUUUAAUUAUUAAAAAUACCAAAUAAAUUAUGAAAAAUUAUUUUAAAGUCUGAAAAAUAGUUUUUAAUUAUUUUGAGUAUAUUUCAUAAAUAUUUAAUAUUUUUGGAAUAUAAAAGGUAUUUAUUUAUUUAAUUAUAAUAUUAAAUAAAUGAUUUAAAAAUAGUUUUAAUUCAUGAAAAAUCAUGAAAAAUUAUAUUAUGGUAUAAGAAAAUAUUUUAAGUUAUUUCCCAUGACUUUUAAUAUUUUGUGAUGAAUUUCAUUAAUUAAUUAUAUAUUAAUGAUAUUAAAGUUAUUUAAUGAUUAUAUUAAAUAAUUUAGUUUAAAAAUGAUUUUAAUAUUAUAAAAAUCAUUUUAAAUGAAAUUAAGGUAUUUAAAAAUAUUUUAAGUUAUAAAAUAUAACUUUUAAUAUUUAAAGGAUAAUUUCAUUAAUAAUUUAAUAUUAAUGAUAUUAAGAUAAUAUUAAUGAUAUUUAGUUUAUUUAAUAAUUAUUAUUAAAUAAAUAGUUUAAAAAUGGUUUUAUUUAUUUAAAAAUCAUUUAAAGAGGAUAUUAAGGAUUUAAAAAUAUUUUAAGUUAUAAUUAAUGACUUUUAAUAUUUGGAUGAAUAGUACAUUAAUAUUUAUAUAUUAAUGGUGAUUAUUUAAAAAUGAUUUUAAUUGUUUUAAAAAUCAUUUAAGGGUAAUAUAAAUGUUUUAAAAAUAGUUUGAGUUAUUAUAAAUAACUUUUAUAUUUUGGCAAUGGUUUCAUUAAUAGUUUAAUAUAAAUUAAUUAUUAAUGAUAAUGGAAUUGUUUAAUGUUUAAAUCAUUUAAUUAUGAUUCCGAUGUUUGAAAGUUAUAGCCGGCCAAACUAGCUGACUUGAGAACCGAUUAUGAAGUUAUGAAGUUUUGAGGAACACCUAUAGUAACAGUUAUAUCACUAUAGGCCCGGUAGUGACAGAUUUGAAUUAUUUUAAAUUUUUCAAUUUCUGGAAAAUUCGAAAAUGAUUAAAAAUAAAAUGUUUGAUAUUUACAGAUGUUGAGGUAUAGGAUAAGAGUCUUAGACUCAGUAUUUACCCGAUAAAGCUGUCGGUACGCCGACAAAUGUCAGACCCUAUAAUAGAAAGAAAAGACUUCUGUAAGAGCAUGGAUGAGAUAUUUGAAAAAUGUAUAAAAAUAUUUCAAGUAUAGAAUAUGAACUAAAAGUAUGAUCACUGCGAUUAUGUGAUGACGUGAUUAGACUAUGUGCUGACUGUAAUAGACAGUACUAUGUGUUAUGAUAUAUUGUUCUAAUCGAACGAAUGAUCUGAUUAUUGAUAGGUUGUGAUAAAGAGAUAAAACCUAAGUUGAGAUUUGUAAUCAGCGAAUCAGGCAAGUAUCUUACCUUUGCAUUUCCUUUAUGCAAUGGACAUGAGUAAGAAGUUUCAGAAUUAUUCUAUUCCUGUACAGAUUAUGUACGCUUUGAUUAUCAACAUGUUAGCUCAGAUAUAUAUUCUGUUAAGUUGAUUUCUAAAUGGUUAUACAAGUGUCCCCACUUGGAUAAUCAUGGCAUUUAUUCACAUGUUGAUAUACCUUUGUCAAUUACCCGUAUACAUAUAUGUUGAAUUACAUAUUAUUGUUGAGCAAGAUUAAAAACCUUCGGGUUUGGAACCAGGCAUGUAUGAACAUCCCGAUAAUGGGAAAAUUUUUAUGCGCUUCGGCGGACAAAGGGUGAGCGAUGAAUUUCGUUCAAGUUAUGUAGUAUUGAUCAAUACAGGGUACAACGGGGCUGAUCACCCUCCGUGCCCGUAAGUUAUGACGGUUUGCGGAUGAAUUUCUGCUAAACCUUUUCGAAAAUGAAAAACAAUGUUCAUAGUAUGUUUCUUAAACCCUAUUCAUGGGUGGAGCCUAAUUUCAAGAAAUUGAAAGAGAGUUGUUAUGUGAAUCUUUUAUCAGUACAGAUUACUUCACAACUUUUGAUUCGUUGUAGAAGUGUUAUGUAAAGAGAAUACUUAUAUUCUUUCAGCUUAUAUAUAAUUGUUAUUACUCGUUGGGCACUCAAAUGCUCAUCCUUGCUUAAAUUAAAUGUUUUCAGUUACGUACGAUCGACCUGAAGGCUCAGGCACGAAUAAGGGAAAAGAAAAGCUAUUCGAAUGAGAUUUAGUAUGAGUUAAUGGUUAUAGUUAGUAAGACAAUGGAAUCUAUUGUCAGAUAUUGUAAGGAAUGUAUUUGAAGGUCACGUACCUGGGGAAGUAAACUUUGAUGUAUGUAAAUUAAGUUCGAAUGUAUUAUUAUUUAGUAUUAUUCAGCUUAAAGAAAUGGUAUCGUGGAGAACCGAGUUCGAGUUUCAAGUACCUGGAUUUGGGGUCGCCACAUAAUCCAGAUCCAUAAUAUCUGGACAACAAGUCUCCAAAUCACAUCAGAAAGGGUGUGGUAAUGUUUAACCUGGAGCUUUUCAAAAUGCAUUUUAUGACUACAUGCAUACAUGCAUUAUUUUAACAUACGUGUACAAUAGAGUUAAAAUGCAUGACUACCCAAUGCCUACGUUUUGGAAAAUUUUUCCAUAGUCCCCAUUGUAAAUAGGACAAUCC